rnacentral:rRNA from 1 species
UACAGAGGGUGCGCGCGUUAAUCGGAAUUACUGGGCGUAAAGCGUGCGCAGGCGGUUCGUUAUGUCUGCUGUGAAAUCCCCGGGCUCAACCUGGGAAUGGCAGUGGAAACUGGCGAGCUUGAGUGUGGCAGAGGGGGGUGGAAUUCCGCGUGUAGCAGUGAAAUGCGUAGAGAUGCGGAGGAACACCGAUGGCGAAGGCAACCCCCUGGGCUAACACUGACGCUCAGGCACGAAAGCGUGGGGAGCAAACAGG